rnacentral:rRNA from 1 species
AUUGAACGCUGGCGGCAUGCCUUACACAUGCAAGUCGAACGGCAACACGGGUGCUUGCGCCUGGUUGCGAGUGGCGGACGGGUGAGUAAUACAUCGGAACAUGUCCUGUCGUGGGGGGUGGCCCGCUAAAGGCGGCGUUAUAUCCUACACCAUACCGCGGAGAAAACCGGGGGACCUUCGGGCCGGCCUCUUUCGGUUGGGCGAGCGCCGAUUAGCUAGUUGGUGGGGUAAAGGCCCACCAAGGCGACGAUCAGUAGCUGGUCUGAGAGGACGACCAGCCACACUGGGACUGAGACACGGCCCAGACUCCUACGGGAGGCAGCAGUGGGGAAUUUUGGACAAUGGGCGAAAGCCUGAUCCAGCAAUGCCGCGUGUGUGAAGAAGGCCUUCGGGUUGUAAAGCACUUUUGUCCGGAAAGAAAUGCUUGACUCUAAUACAGUCGGGGGAUGACGGUACCGGAAGAAUAAGCACCGGCUAACUACGUG